CGCAGCCGCGGUAAUUCCAGCUCCAAUAGCGUAUAUUAAAGUUGUUGCAGUUAAAAAGCUCGUAGUUGAAUUUCGGGAUCAAAGGAUCGGUCAUGCCUUGGUAUGUACUGGUUUUAUUGGUUCUCACCUUCUAAAGAACCAUAAUGUCAUUCAUUUGAUGUUAUGGGGAAUUAGGACUGUUACCUUGAAAAAUUAGAGUGUUUAAAGCAGGCUUACGCUUGAAUACAUUAGCAUGGAAUAAUGAAAUAGGACAUCAGAUUCUAUUUUGUUGGUUUCUAGGAUCGAUGUAAUGAUUAAUAGGGGUAGUUGGGGGCAUUAGUAUUCAAUUGUCAGAGGUGAAAUUCUUGGAUUUAUUGAAGACUAACUACUGCGAAAGCAUUUGCCAAGGAUGUUUUCAUUAAUCAAGAACGAAAGUUAGGGGAUCGAAGACGAUCAGAUACCGUCGUAGUCUUAACCAUAAACUAUGCCGACUAGGGAUCGGAUGAUGUUAAUUUUAUAAUGACUCAUUCGGA
rnacentral:misc_RNA from 1 species